rnacentral:rRNA from 1 species
GUGGGGAAUAUUGGACAAUGGACCAAAAGUCUGAUCCAGCAAUUCUGUGUGCACGAUGACGUUUUUCGGAAUGUAAAGUGCUUUCAGUUGGGAAGAAAAAAAUGACGGUACCAACAGAAGAAGUGACGGCUAAAUACGUGCCAGCAGCCGCGGUAAUACGUAUGUCACAAGCGUUAUCCGGAUUUAUUGGGCGUAAAGCGCGUCUAGGUGGUUAUGUAAGUCUGAUGUGAAAAUGCAGGGCUCAACUCUGUAUUGCGUUGGAAACUGCAUGACUAGAGUACUGGAGAGGUAAGCGUAACUACAAGUGUAGAGGUGAAAUUCGUAGAUAUUUGUAGGAAUGCCGAUGGGGAAGCCAGCUUACUGGACAGAUACUGACGCUAAAGCGCGAAAGCGUGGGUAGCAAACAGGAUUAGAUACCCUUGUAGUCC